UACGUAGGAUGCAAGCGUUGUCCGGAAUCAUUGGGCGUAAAGCGAACGUAGGCGGUUUCUUAAGUCUGUGCUUAAAGACCGGGGCUCAACCCCGGGAGUGGCAUGGAUACUGGGAGACUGGAGGACGUCAGAGGAAAGUGGAAUUCCUAGUGUAGCGGUGAAAUGCGUAGAUAUUAGGAGGAACACCAGUGGCGAAAGCGACUUUCUGGGACGUUCCUGACGCUGAGGUUCGAAAGCUCGGGGAGCAAACAGG
rnacentral:rRNA from 1 species